rnacentral:rRNA from 1 species
UGCGUAGGUGGUUAGGUAAGUCCGAUGUGAAAUCUCCAGGCUCAACCUGGAAAUGGCAUUGGAUACUAUCUAGCUUGAGGAGUGGAGGGGGGACUGGAAUUCUCGGUGUAGCAGUGAAAUGCGUAGAUAUCGAGAGGAACACCAGUGGCGAAGGCGAGUCCCUGGACACUUCCUGACACUGAGGCACGAAAGCUAGGGGAGCAAACA